rnacentral:lncRNA from 1 species
AAGAGUAAUUUUUAAAGUCUUCCAUUGAAAGUUCCAUAUAUUUUAAACACAAAAAGAAAUAGCCUAGCAUACAAACAUUCUAGGGAUUCCCAAAUAAUUUCUCUAAUAGCAGAGAUCUCUGAUGUGCAAGUGGCCAGCGUGUUCCCAAAAUAUAAGCACUUCUAAUCUUGGCAAACUUGUCCUUGAGAUGCCAAUGUUGACUGGUGACUAUCCACAGGCAGGGCUAGAAAAGGGAGUGGAACAUUUUACUUAGGCAGGAAGCACUGAAGAGAAGAAUCUUUUUUUCAGUAGACAUUUGUGGGAAAUAAAAAUUUGUUUAGAAGAAUUUAGGCCAAGAGAUAAAAUGGUCUUCUUUUGACUGAGGAGAGAUAAGAUAGAUUUUAAGCAGACAUCUGAAGUUAAAGGUGAGAGAAGGAAGAUAAACUGGGUGAUUUUGCUCACCUAAGAAGGUACACAGAUCCAAAGAAAAAGAGAUUCGAGAGGUGUCUCCAGCUUCUGAUUUUGAUGACAUCUCCCAGAGAGGACCGUGUUGCCAUCACCAUCCCAGAGUCUGAAAGUGUCCAGUUAUUCCUACAGAUGGAAGGGUGCACUUUCCUGCCCCUUGACUUUGGAAUCAGCGAAAGAGAUAUUAGCAAAAGUGGUAUGAUGAAACUGACACUCCAUAUGUGCUUUAUGAUGUGCAGGCAUUAUGAAGAGAAUUAUUGAAAAGAUGGUCAUGAUCAACAUAAGUAAAGGUCACUGAAAAUCUAGUGCCAGACCUAUGUCAUCUUCCAUUGCAUUGCAAUUAUAUCAUUGUAUGAGAAUCACAGCAUUAAAUUAUUGUGGCAAUUGUCAUGUAAUGACUCAUGGAUCACAUUUUGAAAA